rnacentral:rRNA from 1 species
UACGAAGGGGGCUAGCGUUGCUCGGAAUCACUGGGCGUAAAGGGCGCGUAGGCGGGUCUUUAAGUCAGGGGUGAAAUCCUGGAGCUCAACUCCAGAACUGCCUUUGAUACUGAGGAUCUUGAGUUCGGGAGAGGUGAGUGGAACUGCGAGUGUAGAGGUGAAAUUCGUAGAUAUUCGCAAGAACACCAGUGGCGAAGGCGGCUACCUGGACCAGCACUGACACUGAAGCACGAAAGCGUGGGGAGCAAACAGG